rnacentral:rRNA from 1 species
AGAGUUUGAUCCUGGCUCAGGAUGAACGCUAGCGGCAGGCUUAAUACAUGCAAGUCGAGGGGCAGCAGGACUGUAGCAAUACAGUUGCUGGCGACCGGCAAACGGGUGCGGAACACGUACGCAACUUACCCUUUAACUGGGGGAUAGCCCGGGGAAACCCGGAUUAAUACCCCGUAACAUAUUGAAGUGGCAUCACUUUAUUAUUAUAGCUCCGGCGGUUAAGGAUGGGCGUGCGGCUGAUUAGGUAGUUGGCGGGGUAACGGCCCACCAAGCCUGCGAUCAGUAACUGGUGUGAGAGCACGACCAGUCACACGGGCACUGAGACACGGGCCCGACUCCUACGGGAGGCAGCAGUAAGGAAUAUUGGUCAAUGGACGCAAGUCUGAACCAGCCAUGCCGCGUGAAGGAUGAAGGUCCUCUGGAUUGUAAACUUCUUUUAUAUGGGAAGAAAUUAUCGGAUUCCUCCGAUAUUGACGGUACCAUAGGAAUAAGCACCGGCUAACUCCGUGCCAGCAGCCGCGGUAAUACGGAGGGUGCAAGCGUUAUCCGGAUUCACUGGGUUUAAAGGGUGCGUAGGAGGGCAGGUAAGUCAGUGGUGAAAUCCUCAAGCUUAACUUGAGAACUGCCGUUGAUACUAUCUGUCUUGAAUAUCGUGGAGAUGAGCGGAAUAUGUCAUGUAGCGGUGAAAUGCUUAGAUAUGACAUAGAACACCAAUUGCGAAGGCAGCUCGUUACGCGAAUAUUGACUCUGAGGCACGAAAGCGUGGGGAUCAAACAGGAUUAGAUACCCUGGUAGUCCACGCCCUAAACGAUGGAUACUCGACAUACGCGAUACACAGUGUGUGUCUGAGCGAAAGCAUUAAGUAUCCCACCUGGGAAGUACGACCGCAAGGUUGAAACUCAAAGGAAUUGACGG